rnacentral:rRNA from 1 species
GUCUCCGGCCAUACCACCCUGAACGCGCCCGAUCUCGUCUGAUCUCGGAAGCUAAGCAGGGUCGGGCCUGGUUAGUACUUGGAUGGGAGAACAAAUUAAGCGGAAGCUGGAGGGC